rnacentral:lncRNA from 1 species
AAAAUUCUGUUUUCAAACACAUCCAAACCAUACCAAAAUCAUUCAUAAUCAUUCCAAGCACAAACCAUAACUCAUAUACCAAAUAAUACCUUAUAUUUACUCACCAAAACACGUCAAAAUCAAGUGUGGGAAUCAAUUAGUUCCUUAUUAUUUACAUAAACAUUCACCUAGGUACAUGCCAUAUACUGAAAACAAAAAUAGUGGGGAUAGCAUACUUUUCUCCAAGCUCUUGGGGUUUGAUGAGAUGUGAAGAGACUGAUGCUCGAUAAUUCCUCAUUUCACAUCUUUACCUAUGUGUUAAAAAUAACGUGGUAAGCUUGUGAAAGCUUAGUGAGUACAACUAGAAUUAAACUUACCUUUAAUUAAAUAAAUGAAAUAUAGUUCAAUAGCAUUAUAGCAAAUAAGUAUAGAACAAUUUAGUAUUAGUAUCCCCAUACUAUAACUCAAUCAUUAUAAUUUCUUUAAUUAUCAUUCCAUCACUAACACAUAAUCUUGUUAUAUUAUUCUUAGCUUUAUUUUUGUCUCUUUUAUCAUUCAACGGUGGCCCAAUGUAGACUUUACAGAACACUUAGGACAUAUGGAAAUAGUAUAGGGAUGCACCGAAGUGCAAUAACAGAACAGAGUAGCACCAGAGUGCCAUGUCAGAACAGAAUAGCACUCAAGUGCUUAAUCAGAACAGAGCGACACUGAAGUGCCAUGUCAGAACUGAGAGAGUGCUAAGUAUUUCCUAAUGGCAUGCCAUCUAUAUCCCACUAGUUCUCAUCUUGUCUACUUGGGCAAUUAUAUCAGAAUCAACUUCAUUUUCACAUUUCAGAACAGAAUUUGCACAUUUUGAAUUUAUUUCACUCAUAUAUUUUCGUUAACUAUGUUAUUAAAAAUCAUUGUUUUUUACAUUUAAAAUCAACUUCUCAGUCUUUGAUUGAGAAGUUUUCAUAUGAUUUAAAUUAAUCUCGAAAUUAUCUUCUUUAUGGUAUAUAUAUUCCCAUGAAUUUUAGGUAUUAUCACAACAUUACUUCAAACACCUUGGUGAUCUUAGAGUCAAUGGCUGCACAUGAUGUUAGGACUUUGAUAUAUUCUAGUACAUGUGCCACAUAUGGAGAGCCUGAAAAGAUGCCAAUCACUGAAGAAACCCCACAGGCAAGUUGCAAACUUGGUUUUAUGCUUAACCAUUUUGCUAUUUUUUUGUUUGGGGCCAAAGAUUAAGUGAUCAACAUUUAUCAACUUAUUGGUUAAUAUAGAGUUAUAUUACAAGGCAACUGACCUUUGUUUUGGAACCAACUCAGGUUCCAAUCAAUCCAUAUGGAAAAGCUAAGAAGAUGGCAGAGGAUAUUAUCCUGGAUUACUCUAAGAACUCAGACAUGGCAGUAAUGAUCCUAAGGUUUUUUUAUUUAUUUUAGUUUACUUUAGAAGCUUUUAGGUUACUCAAUGUUGUUUUCUCAUUGUGCAUAAUUUUAGUAACUUACCAAAAUCCCAGAAGUCUUCCAGGCCUUAAACCAAAACUAAGUAUGUUAGAUCUUUAUACUUUCCCAUUGGAGGACGUUAAUUGAUAAGUUCUCAUUGUUCUUCCAGCCAACUGCUGCAUAGAUAAGACAUAUACAUGGAAGGUCUACCUAUUCCUGUUUUUAUUGUAUUUUGUAGUUCUAGAUUACAAGGAAACCUUAGAAGGUGGCUGAGUUCAGAUUAUUGUAAUUAUGAAGUUAGUAUUGAUGAACUUUGUAGACCUAGAAGGACUUCUAGUAUCAUAUUCAAUGUGUAGAGUUCUGACCACAACUACUGAUAGUCCAACAAUAUGCUCUUCUUUUUAUUUAUCCUUUUUACAGAUUAAAAACUUGCAGCAGUUAUGAUUAAAAUAUUUUUGGUAAAUUUUAGAUACUUCAAUGUGAUUGGAUCAGAUCCUGAAGGAAGAUUAGGUGAGGCUCCCAGACCUGAGUUGCGUGAGCAUGGACGAAUUUCAGGUGCUUGUUUUGAUGCAGCACGUGGUGUUAUUCCUGGUCUAAAGGUGUGUGAUUCCUUUAAUCCCUUCACUUUGAUUCUUUAAUGAUUGCUUCGUACUUCCAGCUUCACCUGGGGUCAAGAAGUAAACAACUAGUCAUAUACAGGCAACCUAGAUAAUAGUUUGACAUAUUUUAGGAAGAUUGUGAACACCAAAAAUGGUGCAGAUCCAAUUCAAUGUUCUGAUUUUAAUUUUUAAAACUUGGAGAGUAGCAGCAGUGAGCUUUCUUGAAGGCCUGUGCAAUAUAUUGUUGAUGUAAAAUUGCAUAAUUUUGAGAAUGCUAUUCUCUUCCUACAUACGAGGAAGUGCAAAUAAGUCUACUGAAGUGAUGAUCUAACAUGAAAGCAAUCAAAUUGUUGAUUCUGUGUGUGAAAACAAAAAAAAGUUCAUUAUCAAAAUUAUAUAUAAGUGACUCUGCGGUUUGACAACCACUAGAAAAAUUUCUGUGAACAUAUAAUGCCUACAUUUUCAUCUUUUCCUUGAAACAAGUUUGUUGUAGAUGAUUUUGCAUAGCCAGAUGCAUUAUGUAUUUAAUUUUAUUUUCUUUUAUGCUGACAUCCUCUUUGCAAGCAUCUGCCUAAUACUUUAGUUAGAUCUUGGAGCUCAUGGACGAUUUGAAAGAUCUGGGUGAAGAAUUCAGUCAUUUCACAUGUUUAACAAUGGUCCCUUUCUCAAGUGAAAAAGUACAUGUAGUGUAUAAGAUAAAUUAACUCUGUGUUAUUUAUUACAACUGUACUUUGUAUGUGCUUAUUGCGUGUUUGUUUAUUCUUGUAACUUUACAAGUUAUCACACCUGUCAUCCAACAUGUCCAUGGUUUUGCCUUUAUGUUUCAAAUGAUUUCAGUGAACAAAGGGCCACGAUGGGGCUUUGUGGUAAUUUUAUUUUGGUUAUUGGGAUUUUCAUGCAGGUCAAGGGAACAGACUACAAAACACAUGAUGGGACUUGCAUACGUGAUUAUAUUGAUGUUACUGACCUGGUUGAUGCUCAUGUGAAAGCUCUUAAAAAGGCAAAGCCCGGUGAAGUGGGAAUCUACAAUGUUGGCACUGGAAGAGGUAGAUCAGUGAAGGAGUUUG